rnacentral:lncRNA from 1 species
CUGACUUUCUAAGUCUGCAGGAAGGAAAUAUCUCCACACAUACCUCAUCCUCAAGCCUUCCUCCUGUCUUUUGAGCAGAGCCUUUUGCUUCAGUCUCCAUAGAGACUGAAAAAGUUGUGGGAAAAGAUCAGGAACUAUUUUCUGUUAUCUGAGCUCUGCCAUAAUUAGCUCUGUGGCCUUAAAGAUCCUAAACGUCUCUGGAACUCAAAUUAGAGCUUACUUAUCCAUUAGGUGCAGUUCCUAGGACCCAUGAUAUUUUUACAAAGAACAGCAAUGUGGAGAAAAAGAGAAAGGCAGAAAAAAAAAGAACUUCUGGAUUGAAAAAAAGUGUUGUAAAAAUAUAAUAGCUUAUUGGUUUUUAAACCAAGAUAGUCACUGACAUUGUUGAGCUUUAUCUUAGCCCUGUGAUCCUGGAAAACAGAAAGGGUUAAAGAAACCCUCCCACCCCUUUCAUUUCUAGAAACAACUUACUACAAGGAACCAUCCUUUACCUUAUGGCUUAAGUAAAACUCACCAAUGCCACUCUUGUUUACCUAUAACCAGUCUGGACAUAGACCCUCCAAUUCCCCAUAAAUGAUUAACUGGAUUGUUGGUACCUAGUGACCAACCCAGAAAAAAUAACUAUCUGUACUUGACCAAAUUCUAGUUAGACUUCCCAACCUUCUCCUGGCCCUGAAGUUUGACCCACCAUCAGCCCAACCAUUGCACAACCCUCUAACAAUCCCUUAUGUAAAUACAUUGACCCCCAAUAAAACCUUCUCUUUCAACUGUAAGAUCAUCCAAACUAGUUUGGCCCACUUUUCCACAUCUUGUUCUCUACAGUGUUGUUUAGUCCUUCCUAGAAAAUACUUUUUUCCUGCCUGCCUUUUGAAAGGUUUGCCCAUCCCAGGGUCAAAGCUUUCCCCCUACUGCAAUAGUCCCCUUCUCUGUUACAAGUCUCUCCCUUUCUUUUUGCAGGAAUUCUUUAAAAUAAAGUUUCUUCUUUCAUAAGUAGGAUUUUCUAAAAUUUAAUAAUUAAUAUUGUUUAUGAAGAAACAGGUUCCCCAAAAUGAAAAAGUAUAAAGUCCAAUAAAAUCAUACUAUGGACAAAUCCUAGACUCCUGCAUGUAAAAUGAACACAUUGUGCUGGAUACAAGAUCCCUUAUGGCUUAACAAUGAAUGAAUUAAAAAAUAGAAUUGCCAGCUUCUGGCUAGUUAGAGCAACGGAGAGCAACUUACCCACCUCACUUAUUCCAUAUAUUACUCAUACUUUAUGGUUUGUAUUAAUGGAUCUGGAGCAGUUCCUAUGCCUGGUUUAUGGGGUGCUUGAGGACUGUUUUUCUGAAAGUCUCACCCUGUGGAUACAGAUGUUUGAUCAUGCACUAACCAACAUGCAUUACUUUGCUUUCGACACAGUAGAUAUUGCUUAAGGUAAUUGUGUGGACUUCCCUCCACCCUGCCCCACUUUUUUCCUGUUUUAUGAUUUAUGUAUUAUAAGUAAGAUACUAUAACUAAAAAAUCUCUGUAAUUUCUAGAGUACCAACCAUAUGACAUGUAUGCAAUGUUAUUUCUCAGCCAUACAACUAAAAUUUCAUAAAUUUCCUAAAUUCUUUAAGAGGAGCUAACUUGGCUCAAGUUUUUAGUAUAAACUAAUUUUUCAAAGAUUUAUACAUAGAAAUAAAUAUACAGAAGAGGGGGGACU